UGGGUGUUUAGUAUUUUGGUCAGAGGGUUGGAGGUAGACAUAUUUCCUGUAGAGAGUCGAAAGUUUUUAAUUAGAUUUUAUAAUCAGACUUAACCAAUUUAUUUAGGGGUUUUAUUUUUAAAACAAAUUAGGCUCCCACUAUUUUUUUAGAUCCCUACACUCCCAUGGUAGAGAUGUGAAAAUCUCCGUGAUCAGUGAUUUUUAGUAGGUG
rnacentral:lncRNA from 1 species